rnacentral:lncRNA from 1 species
GCUGGUAUUUGUAAUUGAAAUUGUGGGUACUGUUUGCCUUAUUAGAUUAUUCUCUUGGAUUAACUUCCUGGAAUGCAACACUAGGACAAGCUCACUAAUAAGCACAAGGAACCUUCCUGAGAUCAUUGUUGGAUAAAAGAAACCCUCCUCUUAGGUUCUGACAGUUAAAAUAUAUAUUCAUGGGAUCAGGAGAACAGAAUCAUAAUUAUAUUAGUAAAACAGCUCACCUCAAUGAUUCCUAUUAUGGGUCUUUAGUCAUCGAAUAAGAAGUAGAAUAUCUAGAGGCUGGCGGCCCCUUCUGUCUAAAACAUUAGGAUUUUGUUAUCCCUUUUCUUUACAUGCAGCUUGCUUCCUGUGAUGGUGUUUGUCUGAGAACAAAGAGUGCAAUUUUUUUUAAAUCUAUUAAUUUUCUAUGCUGCUGUAACAAUCAACUUUGUAGUGUAAAACAACACCCACUUAAGAUCUCACCUGUUUGUAGGUCAGACGUCCAGCAGACUUGACUGGAUACUUUGCUUAGAGCAUCACAAGCCCGGAAUAAAGACGUCAGCAAGGCUAUGUUCUGUUCAGGAGGUUCUGAGGGAAGAAUCGGCUCCCAGGCUCGCUCAGGAUGUUGGCAGAAUUCAGUUGUAUGCAGUGUAGGACUGAGGUUCCCCAUGUCCUCAUUGGGUUGUUCUCAGCUUCUCAAGGUUACCCGCAUUCCUUGGCUUGUAAGUUCCUUCUCCCACCAUCAAACGCUGCAGUGAUAGUCCGAGUCCUUCCUACAUUUUGAAUCUCCCUGGUUCACCUUCUGCCUCAUCUCUUCUACUCUCUUUUAACACAUCUCUUUCUGAUGGCAGGUGGAGAAAGUUCUCUGCUUUUAAAGACUCCGGUGAUUACUUUGGGUCCACCUGGAUAACCCAGGCUAAUGUCUAUAUUUGAAGUGUUACAGGGCGUAGAAGAGUUCUCUUUAUCUGACUAAAUUUGACCAAAAUGUAAAAGCUUCAUUCAACAAGUAUUUAUUGAGCACCUGCUGUAUGCCACAGUGUUCUGGUUA